rnacentral:rRNA from 1 species
CCGAAUGGGGAAACCCAGUGUGAUUCGUCACACUAUCAUUAACUGAAUCCAUAGGUUAAUGAGGCGAACCGGGGGAACUGAAACAUCUAAGUACCCCGAGGAAAAGAAAUCAACCGAGAUUCCCCCAGUAGCGGCGAGCGAACGGGGAGGAGCCCAGAGCCUGAAUCAGCAUGUGUGUUAGUGGAAGCGUCUGGAAAGGCGCGCGAUACAGGGUGACAGCCCCGUACACAAAAGCGCAUGUGCUGUGAGCUCGAUGAGUAGGGCGGGACACGUGGUAUCCUGUCUGAAUAUGGGGGGACCAUCCUCCAAGGCUAAAUACUCCUGACUGACCGAUAGUGAACCAGUACCGUGAGGGAAAGGCGAAAAGAACCCCGGCGAGGGGAGUGAAAAAGAACCUGAAACCGUGUACGUACAAGCAGUGGGAGCACCCUUCGGGGUGUGACUGCGUACCUUUUGUAUAAUGGGUCAGCGACUUAUAUUCUGUAGCAAGGUUAACCGUAUAGGGGAGCCGGAGGGAAACCGAGUCUUAAUUGGGCGUUAAGUUGCAGGGUAUAGACCCGAAACCCGGUGAUCUAGCCAUGGGCAGGUUGAAGGUUGGGUAACACUAACUGGAGGACCGAACCGACUAAUGUUGAAAAAUUAGCGGAUGACCUGUGGCUGGGGGUGAAAGGCCAAUCAAACCGGGAGAUAGCUGGUUCUCCCCGAAAGCUAUUUAGGUAGCGCCUCGUGAAUUCAUCUCCGGGGGUAGAGCACUGUUUCGGCUAGGGGGCCAUCCCGGCUUACCAACCCGAUGCAAACUGCGAAUACCGGAGAAUGUUAUCACGGGAGACACACGGCGGGUGCUAACGUCCGUCGUGAAGAGGGAAACAACCCAGACCGCCAGCUAAGGUCCCAAAGUCAUGGUUAAGUGGGAAACGAUGUGGGAAGGCCCAGACAGCCAGGAUGUUGGCUUAGAAGCAGCCAUCAUUUAAAGAAAGCGUAAUAGCUCACUGGUCGAGUCGGCCUGCGCGGAAGAUGUAACGGGGCUAAACCAUGCACCGAAGCUGCGGCAGCGA